rnacentral:misc_RNA from 1 species
AACGCCCAUUGCGCCCUUUGGUAUUCCGAAGGGCAUAGCCUGUUCGAGCGUCAUUAUCAACCCUCAAGCCCGGCUUGCUGUUGGGUCCCGCCGCUGCAACACGCGGUGGAUCCGAAAGAUAAUGGCAGAGCCCGCGGGGACCCUGGACGCAACGAGCCUUGUGGCACGCGUCUGGGCGGUCUUCCGGCUCGGUCUUAACCACAUCUACUUCUCAGAUUGACCUCGGAUCAGGUAGGGAUACGCACUGAACUUAA